rnacentral:rRNA from 1 species
UGUGCUUACAAGUAGUCAGAGCCCGUUAAUGGGUGAUGGCGUGCCUUUUGUAGAAUGAACCGGCGAGUUACGAUUUGAUGCAAGGUUAAGCAGUAAAUGUGGAGCCGUAGCGAAAGCGAGUCUGAAUAGGGCGUUUAGUAUUUGGUCGUAGACCCGAAACCAGGUGAUCUACCCUUGGUCAGGUUGAAGUUCAGGUAACACUGAAUGGAGGACCGAACCGACUUACGUUGAAAAGUGAGCGGAUGAACUGAGGGUAGCGGAGAAAUUCCAAUCGAACCUGGAGAUAGCUGGUUCUCUCCGAAAUAGCUUUAGGGCUAGCCUCAAGUGAUGAUUAUUGGAGGUAGAGCACUGUUUGGACGAGGGGCCCCUCUCGGGUUACCGAAUUCAGACAAACUCCGAAUGCCAAUUAAUUUAACUUGGGAGUCAGAACAUGGGUGAUAAGGUCCGUGUUCGAAAGGGAAACAGCCCAGACCACCAGCUAAGGUCCCAAAAUAUAUGUUAAGUGGAAAAGGAUGUGGCGUUGCCCAGACAACUAGGAUGUUGGCUUAGAAGCAGCCAUCAUUUAAAGAGUGCGUAAUAGCUCACUAGUCGAGUGACACUGCGCCGAAAAUGUACCGGGGCUAAACAUAUUACCGAAGCUGUGGAUUGUCCUUUGGACAAUGGUAGGAGAGCGUUCUAAGGGCGUUGAA